rnacentral:rRNA from 1 species
CCCUUAGAUGUCCUGGGCCGCACGCGCGUUACACUGAUGCAUUCAACGAGCUUAUAACCUUGGCCGAGAGGCCUGGGCAAUCUUUUAAACCUGCAUCGUGAUAGGGAUAGAUUAUUGCAAUUAUUAAUCUUGAACGAGGAAUUCCUAGUAAACGCAAAUCAUCAAUUUGCAUUGAUUACGUCCCUGCCCUUUGUACACACCGCCCGUCGCACCUACCGAUUGAAUGGUCCGGUGAAAUCUCGGGAUUGUGGCCAGUUCACUUUAUUGGGAGUUGGCUGCGAGAACUUGCUUAAACCUUAUCAUUUAGAGGAAGGUGAAGUCGUAACA